rnacentral:rRNA from 1 species
CGUAAACAAAGGGAAGCGAAGUGGCGACAUGGAGCAAAUCCCAAAAAUAACGUCCCAGUUCGGAUUGUAGUCUGCAACCCGACUACAUGAAGCCGGAAUCGCUAGUAAUCGCGGAUCAGAAUGCCGCGGUGAAUACGUUCCCGGGUCUUGUACACACCGCCCGUCACACCAUGGGAGUUGGAAAUGCCCGAAGUCAGUGGCCCAACCGGAAGGGGGGAGCUGCCGAAGGCAGGUUCGAUGACUGGGGUGAAGUCGUAACAAGGUAGC